CGCGUUGACUGCGAAAUUGAUUUGAAUUUUCGACAUGGCGUUCUCAGUUAUAGGCCAAAAUAGUUUCCAACUAUUUUUCGAUGUUAUCAAUUUCCUGCGGAUAAUUCAAUAAAUUAAAUAAAAUAUCCAAAAUCACACUUCAAGUUAAAAGUGACAAAUGCGAUGGGAAGAGAUAUGCUUUUAGAGAAAGCCAUUUUGAUCCCCGUAGCAAAUAAUCCAUGUGGAUCAUUAUUACAUGCACCCUCCGCACACAGUGCACGCACAAACACACUUUUCGCUAAGAUUGUGUGUAAAAAAACGUUGAUUGGUAAAAUAAGGGGAAAAGUUUCAUAUAGUGUGCUUGUCGAGCACUUAGAUGUGUUAAUUGCAAUUUUAGUUGAUUUUUACAAUUAUUACUUUACAGUAUAGAAUUUUUAUUGGAUUGUUUUACAAUAGGAUCCAAAAAAAUCAACUUUGAUUUUCCGACUUCGACAGAUCAUGAAAAAAGGGCAACGGUGUCAGACGGAAUUUUAUCGUUAAAACUGAGUGUCACCCAAAUGCCCCCCACUCCAUUUUAAAAGGACCACUAUAAAGCCAGUGCUUUUUGCAAUUUUGGACAAUUUGUUAUUUUUUAUCUGAAAUUCCGGCUGCAAACUGACAGAGCGGAGACAUUAUUGCUCAAAAAGGAAUAAUUACAAUUAGAAAUAGUUGCUUCAAAGAGUAAUUAAUUCGUGAUUAAAAUGACCUCUUUCAAAGGGGUUAUUAAUUACAGAUUACGUUUUGUAAUGUGGAUCUUCAACGAAAUAUGCAUCUUGCAUCAGAAAUAAUUUUUUUUCAAAAAUCGUUUUUCGUCAAUCAGAAUUCUGCAAUUUGAAAACAUGAGCUUAUAGACAAAAUAGCCAUAACAGACACGAAGUACAUAAAUUACAACGACUCUCGUAUUCCAUUUUUUUUUUCUUAAAAGGAAUUUUUAGUUUUUCUCUACAUACUAACCGAAUUCGUUUCUUUAUCUUGGAAAUUUUUGCUAGGAGCAUUCAUACAUUCAGGGCACAAUUAUAACAAAUGUAACGUGGAAUAUACAAUUGUAAUGAGUGGUGAUAGCUCCGGAAUUUGAGGGCUAAGAUGAACUAACUCAUCUUGACUGGGCAUGCUGAUGCGCAAAAUGUACAUGGCCAGCUGACGUGUAUUUAAUAUUCGUGAGGAAAUCUGCCAAAUGAUUUCUAAGUUUCCUCUCUCUCUUUAUAUGGCCCAAGGAUAUGCAAUGUAUUGUUUUCUCGUCCACGCUAAUAUUGCGAACUAAUUCCAGUUUAAUCUAAUCUACAUUUUUAUAUUAUAGGCCUACAUAGAAUGUUAAAGAGUCAUUGUCAACCACAAUGCAUUUUUUUACAUGUUACCUUCGGAAGUGACAAAUAACAACAAGUGACGAUUAUAAACAUUUCUUUGGUGCAAUUUUAGUACAAAAAAAUUAAAAUGAACAGGUAUAGGCUAACCAUAGGAUGGUAGUAAUGUAUUAUGGAUUGGAAAGCAAAACAUCUAUUACUGCGCAUUUAAAUGACCACCAAGCAGGUUUGGAUGCACAAUGCAUUUUGGGUGACAAUGACACUUUAAUGUAGCUACGGUAUAUUUACACCAGGUACGUCUGUAUGUGUUGGCAAUUGGAUUUUCCUUGGCCUUUGGUGCAUUGUUCAGUAAAACAUGGCGAGUGUACAAGAUAGUCAACGCUCACCGUGCCAUAAAGAAUAAA